rnacentral:rRNA from 1 species
AUGCGUUGUUGGGUAGGGGAGCGUUCUGUAAGCCUGUGAAGGUGUGCUGUGAGGCAUGCUGGAGGUAUCAGAAGUGCGAAUGCUGACAUAAGUAACGAUAAAGCGGGUGAAAAGCCCGCUCGCCGGAAGACCAAGGGUUCCUGUCCAACGUUAAUCGGGGCAGGGUGAGUCGACCCCUAAGGCGAGGCCGAAAGGCGUAGUCGAUGGGAAACAGGUUAAUAUUCCUGUACUUGGUGUUACUGCGAAGGGGGGACGGAGAAGGCUAUGUUGGCCGGGCGACGGUUGUCCCGGUUUAAGCGUGUAGGCUGGUUUUCCAGGCAAAUCCGGAAAAUCAAGGCUGAGGCGUGAUGACGAGGCACUACGGUGCUGAAGCAACAAAUGCCCUGCUUCCAGGAAAAGCCUCUAAGCAUCAGGUAACAUCAAAUCGUACCCCAAACCGACACAGGUGGUCAGGUAGAGAAUACCAAGGCGCUUGAGAGAACUCGGGUGAAGGAACUAGGCAAAAUGGUGCCGUAACUUCGGGAGAAGGCACGCUGAUAUGUAGGUGAAGUCCCUCGCGGAUGGAGCUGAAAUCAGUCGAAGAUACCAGCUGGCUGCAACUGUUUAUUAAAAACACAGCACUGUGCAAACACGAAAGUGGACGUAUACGGUGUGACGCCUGCCCGGUGCCGGAAGGUUAAUUGAUGGGGUCAGCGCAAGCGAAGCUCUUGAUCGAAGCCCCGGUAAACGGCGGCCGUAACUAUAACGGUCCUAAGGUAGCGAAAUUCCUUGUCGGGUAAGUUCCGACCUGCACGAAUGGCGUAAUGAUGGCCAGGCUGUCUCCACCCGAGACUCAGUGAAAUUGAACUCGCUGUGAAGAUGCAGUGUACCCGCGGCAAGACGGAAAGACCCCGUGAACCUUUACUAUAGCUUGACACUGAACAUUGAGCCUUGAUGUGUAGGAUAGGUGGGAGGCUUAGAAGUGUGGACGCCAGUCUGCAUGGAGCCGACCUUGAAAUACCACCCUUUAAUGUUUGAUGUUCUAACGUUGACCCGUAAUCCGGGUUGCGGACAGUGUCUGGUGGGUAGUUUGACUGGGGCGGUCUCCUCCUAAAGAGUAACGGAGGAGCACGAAGGUUGGCUAAUCCUGGUCGGACAUCAGGAGGUUAGUGCAAUGGCAUAAGCCAGCUUGACUGCGAGCGUGACGGCGCGAGCAGGUGCGAAAGCAGGUCAUAGUGAUCCGGUGGUUCUGAAUGGAAGGGCCAUCGCUCAACGGAUAAAAGGUACUCCGGGGAUAACAGGCUGAUACCGCCCAAGAGUUCAUAUCGACGGCGGUGUUUGGCACCUCGAUGUCGGCUCAUCACAUCCUGGGGCUGAAGUAGGUCCCAAGGGUAUGGCUGUUCGCCAUUUAAAGUGGUACGCGAGCUGGGUUUAGAACGUCGUGAGACAGUUCGGUCCCUAUCUGCCGUGGGCGCUGGAGAACUGAGGGGGGCUGCUCCUAGUACGAGAGGACCGGAGUGGACGCAUCACUGGUGUUCGGGUUGUCAUGCCAAUGGCACUGCCCGGUAGCUAAAUGCGGAAGAGAUAAGUGCUGAAAGCAUCUAAGCACGAAACUUGCCCCGAGAUGAGUUCUCCCUGAC